rnacentral:rRNA from 1 species
GACGAACGCUGGCGGCGUGCUUAACACAUGCAAGUCGAACGGAAAGGCCCUGCUUUUGUGGGGUGCUCGAGUGGCGAACGGGUGAGUAACACGUGAGUAACCUGCCCUUGACUUUGGGAUAACUUCAGGAAACUGGGGCUAAUACCGGAUAGGAGCUCCUGCUGCAUGGUGGGGGUUGGAAAGUUUCGGCGGUUGGGGAUGGACUCGCGGCUUAUCAGCUUGUUGGUGGGGUAGUGGCUUACCAAGGCUUUGACGGGUAGCCGGCCUGAGAGGGUGACCGGCCACAUUGGGACUGAGAUACGGCCGAGACUCCUACGGGAGGCAGCAGUGGGGAAUAAUGCACAAUGGGCGGAAGCCUGAUGCAGCAACGCGGCGUGCGGGAUGACGGCCUUCGGGUUGUAAACCGCUUUCGCCUGUGACGAAGCGUGAGUGACGGUAAUGGGUAAAGAAGCACCGGCUAACUACGUG